rnacentral:lncRNA from 1 species
ACGAGCAUUCUAGAAUUACUAUAAGCAAUAGUCUGAGAAAAAUACAACUGUUUGAAUGAAAGAAACAGUAAAACAGAAAAGAUAGACAUGGACUUCAAGGUCUGUGAACGCCGACAGAUCUACUUUGAGUCUUCGGAUAGUGGGUCCAAUAGCUAAAAUCUCGAUCAACCCGAGCUGGUACCAAAAUCUGCACGUGCAGAGUACAGUAUCAGUACAACCGACCCCAUGCCCUGGUAAGUGUCGAGCCUAACCUCGACGAAGUAGUGACGAGGCUAAGGCAAGGCACCUACAAAUCAACCUGUGCAGUUUAACAAUGUAUAUACAAAUAACAUUAAUGAAGAAUUAGACAGGCGAUAUCGGGAGGGGGAAACAUGCUGGGGGAAAUACGAGAUAAAGAACUACAACAGAAUAAUAACUGGAAUAACCAAUACAUUAUAAAUCAACAAGAACAUGAAUACAGUAAAGGAAAUAUGCACGACAUCACCCUUCAUGCUUUUACUCUCAAUCUCACCAUAAAAUCAAUAGAAAUGGCACGACAUCACCCUUCGUGCAUUAGCUCGCAUAUCAUGGCACGAAAUCACCCUUCGUGCAUUAACACUCAUAAUAUUGCACAACAUCACUCACAAUAUGGCAUGACAUCACCCUUCAUGCAUUAACACUCACAAUAUGAUACAGUAUCACCCUUCGUGCAUUGACACUCUCCCUUACAUAAUGCAAUGAACAAUUAACAGCAGAGAGAUAGAAUAACAUGUACAAGCCUUACUUUAACAUUUGGUUCAACAAUAUCAAUCUCAAUUUUGAAAUAAUUUCUCAAUUAUCACCAGUAGAUCCAUAAACAUGAUAAGAAUGAUCAAUUUGACAACACAAGUCCAAACACGUAGCAAUUAGGCAUAGGAAAGAAACAAUAUAAGAAAAACGGGAAGAAAAUAGGGAAAACAGGUAAGUUGGCGGCGCAUAAGUACUCGUCACCUCACAUAUACGCCGCUCACAUGAAUUUCACAUAACAAAUAGUCUAGGGUUCCUAAUUCCCUCAACUCAAAGUUAGACACAACAAUUACCUUGCUCUGAAGCGCACUUAAUUCUCAAUCACAACUUUUCCACUAGAAUUCAUCUCCAAACCACUCGUAUCUAUUAAAAAAUGACUCAAUAAUAUCAAAUAUUGCUAAAGGAAUCAAUUAUAUUGCAUAAAUUAAAUUUUUCGAAUUUUCCUCCAAAAAGUCGAAAAAUCGAUCCCGGGCCCACUUGGUCAAAACCCGAGGUUCGGACCAAAAUCCAUUUACCCAUUCACUCCCGAGCUCGAAUAUGUAAUUGGCUUUGGAAUCCACCUCAAAUUGAGGUUUAAAUUCCCAAAUUUCUGAAAUCCCUGGUUUCUAUCCUAACACCUAAUUCUACCAUGAAAACUCUAGAUUUUAGGUUGAUAAUUCAUAAAAAUGUAAUGGGUAAUUGAAAAAAAAUGGUAUAGAAUCACUUACCAACACUUUGGGAAAGAAAAUAAAUCUUGAAAAUUCCCUCUAGCCCGCUUGUUUUGUGAAAUGUGGGAAAAAUGGAUUAAUCCCGUGUUGGAUUCUGUUUUAAGUGCCGGGGGACAGUGUGCAUCGCGUUCGCAAGGCCACUGUCGCGUUCGCGAGAUAGUGUUCGCAUUCGCGUAGGCUACCCCCCGGCCUUCGCAUUCGCGAGACAUUGCUCGCGUUCGCGAUGAAGGAACGACCAACCCUCCCCCAAGGUCCCCAAGUGCUUCGCGUUCGCGAUGAGCCGGUCGCGUUCGCAAAGGGUAAAUCCCCCAUCACUUCGCGUUCGCGACCAAGCCUUCGCGUUCGUGAAGAAGAGAUUUUUAGCUGCCCAGUUUACUCUUCGCAUUCGUGAGAGUACCUUCGCGAACGCGAAGAAGGACAUGCCAGAACCCCUGCUGCAGCAAAAUACCAGAUUUUCUAAGUCCAAAACAUCCUGUGGCCUAUCCGUAACUCACCCGAUCCCUCAGGGCUCUAAACCAAACAUGCAAACAAGUCUAAAAAUAUCAUACAAACUUGCUCGCGCGAUAAAAUCGCCAAAAUAACACCUAGAACUAUGAAUUUUGCAACAAAACGAAUGAAAUUCUCAAGAACACUUUAAAAUUCCUAUCUUCUCAACUAAACGUCCGAAUCACGUCAAAUCAACUCCGUUUCUCACCAAAUUUCACAGACAAGUCUUAAAUAUUAUAAUGAACCUAUACCGGGCUCCGAAACAAAAAUAUAAACCCGGUACUCACAAUGCCAACAUCAAUAAAUUCUUAGAAAUAAAUAAAUUUUCAGACUUUUAAUUUUCCUCAAAAAUUCAUAACUCGAGCUAGGGACCUCCGAAUUCGAUUCUGGGCAUACGCACAGAACCCAUAAUUUGAUACGGACUCACCGAAACCGUCAAAAUAUAGAUCCGGGCCCGUUUACCAAAAAUGUUGACCUAAGUCAACUAAAAUCAACUUUUAAGGCAUAAAUUCUUAUUUUCAAUAGUUUAAAACAUAAAAUUUUUUCGGAAACACGCCAGGACUACGCACGUAAAUCGAGGAGGAUAAAAAUGAGAUUUUUAAGGUUUAAGAGAGCAGAUUCGAGUUUUAAAAUAUAAGAUGAUCAUUCGGGUCAUCACAUAAAUAUUUAUUAAACCAUUAAGUGAUUAAUAUCAAGUGCGCCAAGUGGGAGAAUGUAAAAUAUGGCCCACGUGUGGUUUAUAAAUAUUUUGGUUUAAUAAAUAUAUUUUGUUAAAUUAAUAUUUGGAUAAAAUUAGGAGAAGUUAAUUGUGGCUAUAACUCCCCACUAACUCACUUUGAUGGAAAGUGAGAAUUAACCGAUGGUCCCUCUCUCUACCUAUUAAAAUAAGAAUAGCGUAAUUUCAUCAUACUCUAUUCUGAAAAGAACACAUAAACGGGAGAGAAUUACUUAUUUUUCAAGAACAACAACAUUAAAGAAGGCUUUCAGUCAAUAUCAUUAAGAAAACAUAUCAUGGAUUCAGAUAAGUUUUCUUGAUUGAAAUUAUUGUAUAUAUAUUUUAUGUGAAAAUCAUAUAGUUUUUCUGUUCUAAAUAAUCAAUAGGAUUUUAUAUAGAUUGUUUAUUAAUCACAAUUGAGAACAUGAAAAAUCCUUACAUUCCUAACAAACAACACAAGAAACUAAUCAGUGUGAAAAGACUACUAGGCCAGAAUCAUUGGCUAGUUUGUCUCCUUUUGACCAAGUUCAGCUACCAACUGUUUUCAUAAACCGAAUUUAUUACAACAAAAUUGACAUUUAAAAAAAAAAAGAAAAGAAGAAGACAUCUAGUCUUUUUAAAUUCUUAUCUUACUGUUCUAAUUAUUGAAGUGUUAAUUAAGUGAGACGUUUAAAAAAGGAAUGGUUAGAUAAAUGAUCUUAUAAUUAAGGUUAUUAAAUAUAAGUAUCUUUCUUUAGGCAUGUGCAAGAACGUAAUAUAGAACAAAAGGAGUACAUUCUUUACCAAAAGAAUAAGAAGGUAACAUGAAAGGCGAAUCUCCUAAUUUUCGAUCCCACUCAAUUAUUCCCUCCUUCCAUAAUUAUUGUCUAAUUUGGAAAAUUCAUAGUUUUAAACAUAGAAGAUUUGAUGCAGCCAAUAAUUGGUUUCCACUUAUGUUCUUCUAUUAAUAACCUGACAAUUGAAACACUGCUUCUUCUUUCGUUGAGUAUAUUUACAGUACCUCCCUUCUGUUAUUUUCAAGUCAGUGUUAUUUUCUUUUUUACUUUGACAAGUGAAUGUUGGUAGUAUUUUCCUAUUAUAGCCAGCUAAUUUUCGUCCAUGUUGACUGCUUUGUGUUGCACGAUUCACGGUUUAUUUGCAGCUAAUGGUCCAUUGAAGAAGACACUGUGCAAUCAAAACACUUGAAAAGGAGCUUGUAGAGAAUGACCCCGUCAACCGAGUCAGGAAUUUAUAUUAGGGGUUAAAAAAAAAAGAGACAGGACUGUCACACUUAAAUGUUUGAACCUAUGACCUAAAGCAACGGUUGGAUCUCCUUUGUGACUACACUAGAACCUUCCAUAUGCCAAAGAGGAUUCAAAAGUUUAUAUAUAUAAACAAAAAAAAUCAUUUUUGCUGAACUUGACUCUACCCUGGGGUGGUAUUAUAGUCGUAAUAUACUCCAGAAAAUGGACAAUCAAACAAAAGGAGCCAUGAAAAUUAGCCACGUUGUCAAAUCUACAUUUUCAAUUCUCAGGAAAAAGUUUACAUAUUCGAGGGUGUGUUUGGUACGAAAAGAAAUAUUUUCUAUGGAAAAUCCAUGGAAGAUGUUUCCAUGUAAAAUGAGUGGUUUUAUCACUUAUUUUCUCUUGUUUGGUUGGUGAGUGAAAAAACUUUUCCGGAAAGUAUUUUUUACAUGAGCAUUUAUACAAUAUUCCCUAAAGAUCCGGAUGUCACUGAGUACAUGAGUAUUUAUAAAAUAAUAUGGUCCGAAAUACUGAAACACCAUAUAGGAAAGUAGAACAAUAUAUGUAAAUAAAACUAACAGAUAAAGAAGGAGAGUCAAGGUCUGUGGACGUCAGAGCAGCUACCUCGAAAAUCUUUGAACUGAUAAAGCUCCGAAAACCAGCAAACCACUGUAUCCGGAAGUACCUGAAUCUGCGCCCGAAGUGCAGGGUGUGUACAACCAACCCAGUAAGUAACAAGUCUAACCUUUGAGCUGAAAGCAGUGACGAGCCCAACAGGUACAGUGCAAAUAUAGAAAUAAAAGUACAAAAAUAUAUACAUGCUUUCAAGUUCAACAGUUAAAGCUCAAACAGGUAAAAUAUGCCAAGUGUAACUGAAAUGAGGAAUGAUACGUCUCGAUAUUUACAUUUCAAUUAUGUAUGCCAACUGUAAUGCAAAACACUGAUGAAAUCAUACGGAUACUCUCAGAGUAUCAAAUCACUCAGUCCUUACAUUCACUCAAUCCUCACAGUCAGUCAUUCCUCACAAUCACUUAGUCCUCAUAGCCACUCAAUCCUACCAAUAGCUCGGCACUCGCACUCAACACUCGCACUCGCACUCACACUUAGUAGGUCAUGCACUCACUGUUGAUAAGUCAGACUCCGGAGGGGCGGAUACAGCCCAAGCACUAUAAUAAGUCAAUCAUGGCAUGAACUAAUAAAGCAUAUUGUGGCAUGCAGCCCGAUCCCAUAAAUAUCCUCACAAUCAGUCCCUCGGCCUCACUUAGUCAUCAGUCUCUACAGUCUCUCGAGCUCACAAGUCUUAUGAUAUUCAGCCCAAACAAUGAUGAUUUGAUGCAUCAAUAAAUGGCAACAGAGACUGAGAUAUGAUAUGCAAAUAAUAGCUGUGACUGAGUACAUGAUUGCAAAUUAAGCAAGUAAUUUAACAGCAACACGACCUCUACGGGUCCCAACAAUACCAACAUAUGGCCUAAGCAUAAUUUCUAACAAGAAUCACAUCUCAAUUUCUUUAACACAUGGGAAAUACGUGGAAAGUGACAAGUUAUAUGACUACACAGUUCCACGGAGUCAACCGAGUCACAAUUCUUACGGUGUACGCCUACAUGCCUGUCACCUAGCAUGUGCGUCACCUCAAUACCAAUCACAUAACACCUAAUUCGGGGAUUUAUACCCUCAAAACCAUGUUUAGAAGUGUUACUUACCUCAAGCCGUGCAAAUCUCUACUCCAAUAAUCUCUUGCCUUAUGAAUCGGCCUCGGAAUGACUCGAAUCUGGCUACAAAAAACACGAUACAAUCAACACAAGCCAUAGGAAUCAUUUCAAUAUGAAAAAACUAAGUUGUUAAGCAAAAGUCAAAAAGUCAACUCAAAAAAAUAACUGCGGACCCACAUCUCGAAAGCUUAUAAAAGUUUCAAAAUCCGAACACCCAUUCAACCACGAGUCCAACCAUACCAAAUUUAUCAAAUUCCGAUACAAAAUCGUCACUCAAAUGCCCAAAUUUUAUUUUUUAAUCUCUAGCCUAAAACUCCCAAAAUUUCACCUCGCAAAUACAUAAACUAGGUGAAAAAUUCAAUAGGUAAUUAAUAUUAUUGCAUACAAAUGAUCAAGAGUGACUUACCUCGAGAAACCCCUCGAAAUCCCUCUCAAAAGCGCCUUAAUUCGAGUUUGCAAAGUCCAAAAAUGAUAAAACCUCGGAACCCUAUGUUUAUAUUCUGCCCAGUGCUUUUCGCACCUGGGACCAACUUGACCAUAUUUGCGGUUCUCCUGGCAACCUCCUGUGCUCACACCUGCAGACAAGGUUCCGCAUCUGCGGAGCCGCACCGACAACCAACAUUUUCACGACUCUAUUUUUCUUGAAGAAUUUAAUUAUUCUUCUAAAAAUUCACACAAACCCAAAGAAACUAAUGUGCUGCUUUAUAUUUUUACGCAAAAGUAAUGUUUAAAUUUGUGCUCCAUAACUAAAAAGAAAAUACUCUAUUUUUAGUUGAAAAAGAAAGUACUCUUUCUACAACAUGAAAAUAAAGUACUCAUUUUAUUAAAAGAAAAGAAAAUACUUUUUCUACACCAUGAAAAGAAAAUAUUCAUUUUGUUGAAUUGAAAAAAAAAACUUUUUCUACAUCAUGAAAAUAAUAUUUUUUUGUUGAAAUGAAAGAAAAACUUUUUCUAUGAAAAAAGAAAGUAUAUGUUUUUGUUGAAAUGAAAAAAAUACUUUUUUAUAUCAUGUAAAAAAAAUAGUCAUUUGUUGAAAUACAAAAAUGAAAUAUAUCUAUAACAUUAAAAAAAGUACUAUUAAUAAUAUUUUUAUUUGGGGCGGGGGUGGGGGUGAGAGGAUGGGUGGGUAGGCGGAGGUGGGGCGGGGGUUAGGUUGGGGUUGUGUGGGUUGAUGGGGAUAGGGAAUAGGGUGAAGAAAGUUAAAAAGGAGUUUUAGAAAAUAUUUUUCCUUCUCUUGAUAGGGAAAAUAUUUUUCUCCAAUUGGAUGAAAAUGAGUUCAUGAGAAAAAUAUUUUUCAAAAUAUUUAAGCCAACCAAACAUUCCGGAAAAUAUUUUCCGGAAAAUAUUUUUUCCUUCGUAGCAAACACACCCUUAGUCUUUCCAUACUUGUUCUUCUACAUUUGGAGGCCGGUUUACAAAGUAACAUAUAAGAAAAUGAGAAGAGCAUUCUGUUAGAGCUGAAGCAACUAUGGGGAAAUCAGUUAGGAUUCGAGUCGUUGAAUUCCUAUACCUCAUAUUGCAAUUGAUUUGUGUAGAAUGCAGAAAAGGUUCUGACAAGCAUCCAUCUCGGAGAGAAACAACUUACUGGAAUAAUUCCACCAAUUAUAUAUGGACUCAAAAAGCCUAGAAGCUAUGUUGCUCGAACUCUCCAAAAGUGCUGCCCCACCCGUGUCGGAUCCUUCAAAAAUGCACUAAAUUUGAAGGAUCCGACACGCACCCAAUAAUAUUUUUGAAGAGUCCGAGUAACAUAGCCUAGAAGUGAUAACAAAUUUUCUGGGGACCGGGUUUACCCACUAUAGCUGGAAUUUUAAGAUUAAGAACAUUAGGUCUUUGGUUGAAUUAUUAGGUGAGUACAUGGAAAAUCAAAGCUUAGACAAGUGGCUUCAUCACAAGAGAUCAAUAAGUGAAAAAGCUAUUACUGCUUCAGCACAUUCUGUCUUGGAAUGGAAUACUAGACUGCAAAAUUGCAGUUGGAGCUCUAUGAUACAUGCAUCACGAGUGCUCCCCACCAAUCAUUCAUCGCGACAUUAAGUGUAGCAAUAUCCUUUUAGACCAUGAAUUGAAUGCCAAAAUUGCAGAUUUUGGACUGGCUAAGGUUUUGGCUAAGUGGGGAGAGACGGAGACUGCUUCUGCUAUCGCUGGCACGUUUUGUAACCUUGCACCAGGUAUAUCUCAUUAUUAGAAUACGAGUUAUGUUUCUUAUUCUUGAAAUUUAAGAGUUUGCAUCUACGUCAAAACUGAAUGUCAAGAGUGAUGUCUACAGCUUUGGUGUGGUAUUAGUGAAGGAAGUUUUGCAAAUUCUAUAACUGGGCAUUUGGACAUAAAAAUUGUAAAAUUCCAAAAAAAGAGAAAAAGAAUUUCAAGGGAAAAUGGUAUUUGAAAAUUAGAGUUGUGUUCGGACAUGAAUAUAAUUUUGGGUUGUUUUUAAAUUUUUGUGAGUGAUCUGAUUGAACAUUUUGAAAAACAGCUUUUUGGAGUUUUUUAAAUUCUUGAAAAAUUCUAAAAUUCAUUUUCAAGAGAAAAUUGAAAAUUUUAUGGCCAAACACUAAUUUCGAAAAAAGUAAAACUUUUUCAAAAAAAAGUGAAAAAUUUACAAGAAUAAUUUACUAACUAAUUUACAAGAAUUCAACUAUUUUUUUCUAACAUUCAAAUAAUGAAAAUAUACCAAAAAUAUAUAACUAACCUUGUUAUCGGAGAACACUGCUGCUGGAAGGGAGAGGAAGAGAAGACCCUAAGCUCUCUCGCUCAACCCGAAGCUUCGCCGCCGGAAGAAAAAAGAAGUUAAGAUUCCGCCGUCGUCGUUGGAGAGGAUGAGAGGGAAAAAUACCGUGAAGAGGGGAGGUGGUGAAAGUGUUCCGCCAUGGAGACAGGAAGGAGGUGGGAGUGUUUCGCCGUGGAGAGGGGAAGAGGUGGGAAAAGAGCAAUAUAAGAAAGAGAGGAAGAGAAAAUCGAAGGAUGGGGGGGGGGGGAGGGAGGUUAAAACAAGCUUUCGACUGUUUCGGUCAAU